UGCGCUUUUUGCGUGCGCCCCGUGUGUGCCCAAUCUCCGCGACGCCCUGGGUCUCCGAGGAUGUGCUGUGGCUGCCUCCGAAACUGGAUUACCCCGUCAUGGUAUCCCUGUUUUCUUUACCAGUAACGCCUGUUGGGUUUUGCAUUCAAAGUAUAUCUAUUUUUGGUAACAGUUUCUCCGAAACCGCUAAAACGACAACAAGAGACUGUCUACAAGGAUAAUUGCUCUCAAGUUUUGAUUUGCAGGGUGGAAUAGAUCGGUUCGGCGGAUGGCUCUAAAGUUUACUGAGACAAACAAAUUUACAGCUUCACGACGCGAGCGCUGGGGCAGAACUAAAUUUAUUCCAAAACAUGCAAAAUCACACACGUGUAGACACUUUACAAAUAAGGUCAUGACAUCUGUAUAAGGAAAUUAACUAAAGGCUACCCAAAA